AUGGCUCGGAUGCAUUCUUAUAUGCUACAUCCUCAUGGUAUUCCUCAAUCUUUAGCCUUGCCCAACUCUGGUCUUCCUCGGUUUGGUAGAGAUGGCAUAUUGGAGCAAGCAUCAUGUCAGGAUGUCGAUGCCGAUGCUUCUCUGGCUGCUACUGAGGAUGGCAGUGAUCCUUUCACCCACCUAAAAUCAAAGACGGGAACACUAGUGGUGGGAAAGCAGCUGGAGGAAACAAGAAAGCGCAGUAACUACUUUCCUAUGGUACUUGUUGCGUGCUUGUUGCUGAUUGCACACCCUAUGGUGCUUGAUGCCGAUUGCAAUGGCAACGCUUCAUCUCCGCAGGCGAUCCAAGCUGUGCUCGUCAUCUACACUAAUUUGUGCUUCGACGAUGAGUUUCAGUGCAUGGAAAGCAUAUGUGUUUUCAACAACGACAGCUCACCGAAAACACCUAGCCAUGAAGAGUUGUGCCACUUCGAGCUGGUGCUUGUUCUUGUUGUUCUUGGAGUCUUCGAGGUGGGCGGGAGCCCCUUCUUCGUCGGCCGCUACCACACGCUCGUCGGCAAGGAGCUCUUCAUCCAUGGUGCGGCACCACUGGAUGUGGGGGAAGAUGUGCUCAUCGCACAUCAAACCCACCCUACACCCCCGGCCGCCACACCGGCAGAGCCAACCGCGCUCCCGAGCCUACAUCGACCUCCACCGGCGCCACCCUUUGUUGCUGUCAUUGCUUGA
rnacentral:rRNA from 1 species